AGAGUUUGAUCCUGGCUCAGGAUGAACGCUAGCGGGAGGCUUAACACAUGCAAGUCGUGGGGCAGCAUUUGGUAGCAAUACUGAGAUGGCGACCGGCGCACGGGUGAGUAACGCGUAUGCAACCUACCCUGUACAGGGGGAUAGCCCGGAGAAAUUCGGAUUAAUACCCCAUAAAGAUAUUUGAAGGCAUCUUUAGAUAUUUAAAGUUUCGGCGGUACGGGAUGGGCAUGCGUAACAUUAGCUAGUUGGUAGGGUAACGGCCUACCAAGGCCACGAUGUUUAGGGGUCCUGAGAGGGUGAUCCCCCACACUGGUACUGAGACACGGACCAGACUCCUACGGGAGGCAGCAGUGAGGAAUAUUGGUCAAUGGGCGCAAGCCUGAACCAGCCAUCCCGCGUGGAGGAAGAAGGCGCUAUGCGUUGUAAACUUCUCUUCCAGAGGAAUAAAAUUUUGUACGAGUACAGAACUGAAGUACUCUGGAAUAG
rnacentral:rRNA from 1 species